GGCGUGCUUACACAUGCAAGUCGAACGAUGAACUCCUGCUUGCAGGAGGGAUUAGUGGCGCACGGGUGAGUAAUAUAUAGGUAACGUGCCUCUUAGUCUGGGAUAGCCAUUGGAAACGAUGAUUAAUACUAGAUACUCCUUCUGAUUUUAAUAUCAGUUGGGAAAGUUUUUCGCUAAGAGAUCGGCCUAUUUCCCAUCAGCUAGUUGGUAGUGUAAGAGACUACCAAGGCAAUGACGGGUAGCGGGUUUGAGAGGAUGAUCCGCCACACUGGUACUGAGACACGGACCAGACUCCUACGGGAGGCAGCAGUGAGGAAUAUUGCACAAUGGAGGAAACUCUGAUGCAGCAACGCCGCGUGGAGGAUGACGCAUUUCGGUGUGUA
rnacentral:rRNA from 1 species